rnacentral:rRNA from 1 species
ACGCUCGACACCUACGGGAGGCAGCAGUAGGGAAUCUUCCACAAUGGGCGCAAGCCUGAUGGAGCAACACCGCGUGAGUGAAGAAGGGUUUCGGCUCGUAAAAGCUCUGUUGUUGGAGAAGAACGUGCGUGAGAGUAACUGUUCACGCAGUGACGGUAUCCAACCAGAAAGUCACGGCUAACUACGUGCCAACAGCCGCGGUAAUCUGAGCGGGCUGGCAAGGC